GUGUCCCCUAGAGUUCCCCUGAACACUUCAUUGGGGACUCCUUUUAACCCUACUGAAGUGUUUGGGGGAACUCCUGGAGUCAU
rfam:Citrus clementina cultivar Clemenules unplaced genomic scaffold scaffold_4, whole genome shotgun sequence.